rnacentral:rRNA from 1 species
UGGGGAAUUUUGGACAAUGGGGGAAACCCUGAUCCAGCCAUCCCGCGUGUGCGAUGAAGGCCUUCGGGUUGUAAAGCACUUUUGGCAGGAAAGAAACGUCAUGGGUUAAUACCCCGUGAAACUGACGGUACCUGCAGAAUAAGCACCGGCUAACUACGUGCCAGCAGCCGCGGUAAUACGUAGGGUGCAAGCGUUAAUCGGAAUUACUGGGCGUAAAGCGUGCGCAGGCGGUUCGGAAAGAAAGAUGUGAAAUCCCAGAGCUCAACUUUGGAACUGCAUUUUUAACUACCGAGCUAGAGUGUGUCAGAAGGAGGUGGAAUUCCGCGUGUAGCAGUGAAAUGCGUAGAUAUGCGGAGGAACACCGAUGGCGAAGGCAGCCUCCUGGGAUAACACUGACGCUCAUGAACGAAAGCGUGGGGAGCAAACAGG